AAAAGAUAAAACGGGCUCAACAAAGCCUUAGUAGUGAAGGCAGAAGAAGAUGGAGGAUUUUGAGACCUGGGCUUGAUGACUUUAAGCUGCUCCAGAGCUUUCUCCAUGCUGACAGGGGACCCAUCUACUGCCACCCCGGUUUCCACCGGAGCCCAUCCAAGCAGCAGAGCUGCCACCAGGUAAGAAAAUUGAGGCCCAACAGGACUAGUUACCCUAUAUGCCUGAACAUAAAACAACCCAGAAUACAAUGUGAUCCUUCGAUAUCCAUAUGGGAAGACAUAUACAAUAAAAAUGACGACAAGAGCCUGACUUGAAAAUAUAUACUAAUAAAAAAAUAAAUUUUAAAAGUUAAAU
rnacentral:lncRNA from 10 species